UACGGAAGGCAGCAGUGGGGAAUAUUGCACAAUGGGCGCAAGCCUGAUGCAGCCAUGCCGCGUGUAUGAAGAAGGCCUUCGGGUUGUAAAGUACUUUCAGUCGUGAGGAAGGUGUUAAGGUUAAUAACCUUAGCAAUUGACGUUAGCGACAGAAGAAGUACCGGCUAACUCCGUGCCAGCAGCCGCGGUAAUACGGAGGGUGCGAGCGUUAAUCGGAAUUACUGGGCGUAAAGGGCACGCAGGCGGUUAAUUAAGUUGGAUGUGAAAUCCCCGGGCUUAACCUGGGAAUGGCAUUCAAGACUGGUUAGCUAGAGUCUUGUAGAGGGGGUAGAAUUCCAUGUGUAGCGGUGAAAUGCGUAGAGAUGUGGAGGAAUACCGGUGGCGAAGGCGGCCCCUGGACAAAGACUGACGCUCAUGUGCGAAAACGUGGGGAGCGAAACAGGGAUUAGAUACCCGU
rnacentral:rRNA from 1 species